rnacentral:lncRNA from 1 species
AUGGACAUUGGGGGGGGGGGGGGGGGGGGGGGGGAGUCCCUCAUUCAGGGGACACCCAGGCGUCUGGGUGGCGGAGGGCCAUAUAUCCCCCACUGCCCCCCCCAACCGCCCCCGGUCGCCCUUUGGCCCCGCUGGCGCCGCGGGGACCUGACCCCGGGGCCUGGCCGUGCCGAACCGCACGUACGGCCUGGCAGGGGGCCGGCCGGACGCCCGCGUGCGUGUGUCCCCCCACCGGGGGACACCGGGGCCCCCUCCCCGCCGCUGCGGCGGGGGGACACCUCCCCCACCCCUUUCCUCGGCGUGACAUCCCCACAGCUGUGGGCUGGGCGCGGGGGUCCCUGCGUGUCCACCCCCGGGGCCACGGUGGCGCCAGCGGCCGGUGGCCGCGACGGUGACGGUGACGCUGCCCCAUUGUUCGGCCGCUUCCUCAGGUCACAGCCACCCCCCCGGGGGGUGCGCGUGUGUGUCUCCUCGCCACUGACGAGGGGACCCAGGUGUCCAGGGUCCUGGAUCCUGGUGUGUCGUCGUGUCCCCACGUCACCCUGUGCCACCGUGGUCCCGCGGCCCUGGCCCUGCGUGUGGUGUCCCCAUCCCUGUUGCCGUGUCCCCACGUUCCCAUCCCUGUCCUUGUGUCGUCAUCCCCGGGACUGCCCGUGUCCCUGUCCCCAUGUCCCUACACCCACGUCCCCAGCCCUAUGUCCCUGUCCCCAUCCCCGUCCCCACGUCCUCCUCCCUGGGAUUGCCCGUGUCCCUAUUCCCACAUCCCUAUUGCCAUAUCCCUGUCCCCAUGUUGGUGUCCUCAUCCCUGUCCUCGUGGCCUUGUGGCCUCAUGGCCCUGGCCCCAUGUCUGUGUCCCCAUGUCCCAAUCCCUGUCCCCAUGUUGGUGUCCCUGUCCCCGUGUCCUCAACCCCAGGAUUGCCCGUGUCCCUAUUCCCAUGUCCCUACUCCCAUAUCCUUGUCCCCAUGUUUGUGUCCCCACGCCUGUCCUCGUGGCCCCAUGGCCACAUCCCUGUGCCUGUGUCCCUUAUUCCCAUGUCUGUGUACACAUGUCCGUGUCCCCAUCCCUAUCCUUGUGUCCCCACGUCCCCAUCCCUGUCCCCACAUUCCCUGGUCCCAGUGUCCCCAUGUCCCAAUUCCUGUCCCCAUGUCGGUGUCCCUGUCCUUGUGUCCUCAUCCCUGUCCCCAUCCUCACGCCCGUGUCUUUGUCCCCACAGCCUCCUGUGCACGUCCCGUGCUGGUGUCCCCGUCCCUGUCCCUUUGCAUCCCUGUCUUCCUGUCCCCGUGCCCAUGUCCCCGUAUCCCAGUCCUCGUCCCCACGCCUGUGUGCGCAUCCCCAUGUCCCUGUCCCCAUCCCUGUCCCUCUGUCCCUGUCCUUGUGGCCUUUGCCCAUCCCCACGUCCCCCUCCCUGUCCCCCCGUGCCCAUGUCCAUGACCCUGUCCCUGUGUCCCCAUCUGCACAUCCCCGUCCCCCAACUCUUUGCCGUCCUUGUCCCCGCAUCACGGCCCCACGGCCCUGUUCUCCCAUCCCCAUGUCCGACGCUGUCCCCGGGACCCCGUCCCUGUGUCCCCCUCCCCGAGUCCCCGUUCCUGUCCCCGUGA